CUCCUCCUUCUGCCCUAGGCACCCCCCUUAAGGCGGGACCCCGAGUCCACCGGGGCUCUGAGCCCUCCGCGGGUGACCAGGAACCCUGGACGGAAAGCCGUGGUGUCAGGCCUCUGAGACCUCUCUCAAUUCGGAGGGCCACAGAAAGGCCACCCCAUCCUUCCCAGGCUCUGGAGCCUCUGCCCAUGGGCCCUGCUGCAUCCCAGCGUCAAUUCAUUCAGUCAUCCUACCAACCUCUUCAGAGAUCAACCUGAGCUGUGCCCACUGGGGCGCUCAGAGCAGACCCUGAGCCCCAACACCCAGGCUCCCUGUGCACCUGAGCCUGCCUCUGCCUGCCACGUGCCCCCAGGCCAGUCCUGGUGGCAGCAAGGAUCCGCAAGCUCUCCCCUUUCCUCAUCCUCUGCAAAGCUCUGAAUCAUCUUUCUCAAAACUUGUUCUGGGAAUUUGCUCCGUUGCCCCAGUUGAGCAUGUCAAGCCCGGCGGCCCAAGGCUGGGGUGAAGCAGCGUGGCACGUCACUUCCCUGGGAACAACUCACACAUGGAUUGGAUUUGGGUCCAACAUCCUCUGCCAGGGAAAAUAGAAGCCAUAAGAAAACAAAAAAGGAACAGAAGGAGGCUUUUCUUCAGUCACAGCGAGUCACCAACAAAAACAUGUGCAAAAGCUCUCAUGGAGAGCUGGGCCACAAGGAGGGCCAUGAUGUUGGGGGCCCUCUGACACCAAGGGUGUGGGCAGGUGGAUGGGAGGCAGCUGCCCUCCAUGCCAGGCUGAUGUGCCUCCCUUUGGGUGGUGGGGCUGGGACUCCCACUCCACUUGAAGACCUGCACCAAAAAGUCCUUUAGCCCUGUGCCCAGGCUCUGCCACGGGGCCGGUGAGGGGACUUCUCCCCUCUGCUGCCAGAGUGAAGCCAGUCAGGGGGAUGGGAGGCUUGUAGCCAAGAGCACCUAGUGGCUUUCAGGGUCCCUUACCCCUGCCACUUAGCAGGGUCUGCACCUGCAUCCAAGUGUUCUCCUGGGCUACAGUGGGGGGCUGGUAGACACUCUGGUGAUCCACUUUCAGCUUCCCACAUGGAUGUGGCAGGGACUGCUUUGGCAUUUCCCUACCCCAAGGGACAGCCACUGCGGCAGGA
rnacentral:lncRNA from 1 species